UUAUUAUUCUUUAAUAUGUCAAAAGCAGUAGGGGGCCUUUUGUAUGCUGGUUUCUUCCCUUGCUUUUUUAAGAGGGUUUUCACUAGCUUAGAGUCUCCUAAAUUUCUUGGUACUACUUCAUACUUCGGUGUUUCUUGUACUAUCGUUCUAGAUGUAUGGGUUCUGUUAGCUCUCGUGGCUUCUGUUCUCCUCAUAUUUCUUUCGUCUAUUUGCCUGCUUAUUUUGUUAAUGAUAGAAGGUCAGUAUCCAUGGUUUACAGCUAUUUUGACUAUAUUUUCCAUUUCUUCUCACAAGGUUUCUUCUGUAUUACAAUGAGUUUUAGCCCUGUCUAUUAAGGAACUUAGAGCUGCUCUUUUAUGAGUCCAUUUGUUGUUACACCAUUUUGGGAUUAUCAAUGUGGCCCCUGUCAGUUUUCUAUAGAUCUUCAUUUAUAAACGAGCUGUCUUUUAUUGUCAGAUCAAUAUCCAGAAAAUGGGCAUGAGCGCUGCUUUCUUGAUCCAAUUUCAGCUUGAGACUGUAUGCUGGGAUAGUAAAUGCCUGUUUUAAUGUAUCCACU
rnacentral:lncRNA from 1 species